GUGGGUUUGAUUUGGAAAUCUAGAUUCUGGUCAUGCUCUGCUCUUCCUUCUUCCUCUCCUGCAAGUUCUGAGGUUUCUGUUGGGGGUGGGGGUACGGGUGAAGGUGAGGUUGCAGGUGGGUGGGUGUUGGGGUUGAGGAGUGCGGGUUGCAACGGGUUGGUGUUUGAGGGAGGGUGAGGUUGAAGGUGGUGGGUGUUGGGGUUGCAGGUGGAAGGUAGACGAUGAUGAUGAUACUGCUUAGGCAGCUACUGAUUCCCUGUUUCUGCCCUGUUUGUGAACUGUUCUUGUUGUUUGGCCUGAUGAUGAAAAUUAAUGGAAGAUUAUGGCUUUUUGUUAGGAGGAGAAGAGUUGUGCUGGAAAGAGAGAGGAAGCAUGAAGAUUUUUUAUUUGAUUCAGAUGAGAGAUGAACAUGAGUUUGGUUUUGAUGAAGAUGAUUUAGGGUUAAUUUGGGGGAAGUUGAUUUUGUUAAUUAAUUUUUGGGUUAGAUUUGUUAAUUAGUUUUAUUUUUUUAAUUAAAUUAAAAUUUCUGAUGUGUAUUUUAUUUUAUUACAUUAUUAUUAUUUUUAAUUCCA